rnacentral:rRNA from 1 species
AGAGUUUGAUCAUGGCUCAGGACGAACGCUGGCGGCGUGCUUAACACAUGCAAGUCGAACGAUGAAGCCCAGCUUGCUGGGUGGAAGAGUGGCGAACGGGUGAGUAACACGUGAGUAACCUGCCCUUCACUCUGGGAUAAGCGCUGGAAAUGGCGUCUAAUACUGGAUACGACCCUUACAGGCAUCUGUUGGGGGUGGAAAGAUUUAUCGGUGAAGGAUGGGCUCGCGGCCUAUCAGGUAGUUGGUGAGGUAACGGCUCACCAAGCCGACGACGGGUAGCCGGCCUGAGAGGGUGACCGGCCACACUGGGACUGAGACACGGCCCAGACUCCUACGGGAGGCAGCAGUGGGGAAUAUUGCACAAUGGGCGCAAGCCUGAUGCAGCAACGCCGCGUGAGGGAUGACGGCCUUCGGGUUGUAAACCUCUUUUAGUAGGGAAGAAGCGUAAGUGACGGUACCUGCAGAAAAAGCACCGGCUAACUACGUGCCAGCAGCCGCGGUAAU